CCGACCUUAGCUCAGUUGGUAGAGCGGAGGACUGUAGUGUCUGCAGGUAAAUCCUUAGGUCGCUGGUUCGAAUCCGGCAGGUCGGA
rfam:Dichanthelium oligosanthes cultivar Kellogg 1175 unplaced genomic scaffold Do_version_2_scaffold4404, whole genome shotgun sequence.